GGUGGCGUAGCUCAGUCGGUGAGAGCGCUCGACUCAUAAUCGAGAGGUCGUCAGUUCGAGUCUGACCGUCACUA
rnacentral:tRNA from 1 species